rnacentral:misc_RNA from 1 species
UUUCCGUAGGUGAACCUGCGGAAGGAUCAUUACACAUAGCGGGAGCCGGAAGAUAGUCCCCCUGUAGCAAAAAUUACGGGGGGUAGGACUCUCGCCCCGAGCAAUCGGGUCACCCUGCUUUUUGAGCACCAUUCGUUUCCUCGGCGGGCUUGCCCGCCAACGGGGACCCCUUAAAACCUUUGUAAUAGGCUGUUAUUAUCAGUAUUAAAGAAUUUAUCACAACUUUCAACAAUGGAUCUCUUGGCUCUG